rnacentral:rRNA from 1 species
AGGCAGCAGUGGGGAAUAUUGGGCAAUGGUCGAGAGACUGACCCAGCCAUGCCGCGUGCAGGAUGAAGGCUUUCUGAGUCGUAAACUGCUUUUACCAGGGAAGAAAAAAGGGGAUGCGUCCUCUACUGACGGUACCUGGUGAAUAAGCACCGGCUAACUCCGUGCCAGCAGCCGCGGUAAUACGGAGGGUGCAAGCGUUGUCCGGAUUUAUUGGGUUUAAAGGGUGCGUAGGCGGCUUUUUAAGUCUGGGGUGAAAGCCCGUUGCUCAACAACGGAACUGCCCUGGAAACUGGAGAGCUUGAGUACAGACGAGGGUGGCGGAAUGGACGGUGUAGCGGUGAAAUGCAUAGAUACCGUCCAGAACACCGAUUGCGAAGGCAGCUGCCUAGACUGUAACUGACGCUGAGGCACGAAAGCGUGGGGAGCGAACAGGAUUAGAUACCCUGGUAGUCCACGCCGUAAACGAUGGAUACUCGCUGCGGGCGAUAGACGGUCCGUGGCUUAGCGAAAGCGUUAAGUAUCCCACCUGGGGAGUACGCUCGCAAGAGUGAAACUCAAAAGAAUUGACGGGGGCCCGCACAAGUGGUGGAGCAUGUGGUUUAAUUCGAUGAUACGCGAGGAACCUUACCUAGGCUAGAAUGCGCGUGACCGGUUCAGAGAUGAACCUUUCCUUCGGGACACAAAGCAAGGUGCUGCAUGGCCGUCGUCAGCUCGUGCCGUGAGGUGUUGGGUUAAGUCCCGCAACGAGCGCAACCC